UACGAAGGGGGCUAGCGUUGCUCGGAAUCACUGGGCGUAAAGCGCACGUAGGCGGUUCCGUAAGUCAGGUGUGAAAAAUCUGGGCUCAACCCAGUGGAGCACCUGAUACUGCGGUGACUCGAGUCCGGUAGGGGAGUGUGGAAUUCCUGGUGUAGCGGUGAAAUGCGCAGAUAUCAGGAGGAACACCGACGGCGAAGGCAGCACUCUGGGCCGGUACUGACGCUGAGGAGCGAAAACAUGGGGAGCGAACAGG
rnacentral:rRNA from 1 species